GACGUAGGGCGCGAGCGUUGUCCGGAUUUAUUGGGCGUAAAGAGCUCGUAGGCGGCUUGUCGCGUCGCCUGUGAAAACCCGUGGCUCAACCAUGUGGUCUGCAGUCGAUACGGGCAGGCUAGAAUUCGGUAGGGGAGACUGGAAUUCCUGGUGUAGCGGUGAAAUGCGCAGAUAUCGGGAAGAACACCCGUGGCGAAGGCGGCUCUCUGGGACGGUACUGACGCUGAGACGCGAAAGCGUGGGGAGCGAACAGG
rnacentral:rRNA from 1 species